rnacentral:lncRNA from 10 species
GCCGGGCGCAGUGGCUCACUCCUGUAAUCCCAGCACUUUGGGAGGCCGAGGUGGGUGGAUCACUUGAGGUCGGGAGUUUGAGACCAGCCUGGCCUACGUGGUGAAACCCCAUCUCUACUAAAAAUACAAAAAUUAGCUGGGUGUGGUGGCACAGUUCUCCUGCCUCAGCCUCUUGAGUAGCUGGGAUUACAGGCAUACGCCACCACACCUGGCUAAUUUUGUAGUUUUAGUAGAGAUGGGGUGUCACCAUGUUGGCAAGGCUGGUCUCAAACUCCUGACAUCAGGCGAUCCGCCUGC